UCCGGAGUAGCUCAAUGGUAGAGCAUUCGGCUGUUAACCGAAAUGUUACAGGUUCGAGUCCUGUCUCCGGAGCCA
rnacentral:tRNA from 1 species